rnacentral:rRNA from 1 species
AUACGGAGGGUGCAAGCGUUAUGCGGAAUUAUUGGGUUUAAAGGGUCCGUAGGCGGCUAGAUAAGUCAGUGGUGAAAUUCUCUCGCUCAACGAGAGACCUGCCAUUGAUACUGUCUUGGCCAGAGUUACAGUGAGGUGAGUGGAAUGUGUAGUGUAGCGGUGAAAUGCAUAGAUAUUACACAGAACACCGAUUGCGAAGGCAGCUCACUAACUGUAUACUGACGCUGAUGGACGAAAGCGUGGGGAGCAAACAGGAUUAGAUACCCCAGUAGUCC